rnacentral:rRNA from 1 species
GACGAACGCUGGCGGCGUGCUUAACACAUGCAAGUCGAACGGAAAGGCCCUGCUUUUGUGGGGUGCUCGAGUGGCGAACGGGUGAGUAACACGUGAGUAACCUGCCCUUGACUUUGGGAUAACUUCAGGAAACUGGGGCUAAUACCGGAUAGGAGCUCCUGCUGCAUGGUGGGGGUUGGAAAGUUUCGGCGGUUGGGGAUGGACUCGCGGCUUAUCAGCUUGUUGGUGGGGUAGUGGCUUACCAAGGCUUUGACGGGUAGCCGGCCUGAGAGGGUGACCGGCCAAAUUGGGACUGAACUACGGCCCAGACUCCUACGGGAGGCAGCAGUGGGGAAUAUUGCACUAUGGGCGGAAGCCUGAUGCAGCAACGCCGCGUGCGGGAUGACGGCCUUCGGGUUGUAAACCGCUUUCGCCUGUGACGAAGCGUGAGUGACGGUAAUGGGUAAAGAAGCACCGGCUAACUACGUG